UACGGAGGGCGCAAGCGUUGUUCGGAAUCACUGGGCGUAAAGCGCGUGUAGGCGGCCGGGCAAGUCGGGUGUGAAAUCCCGAGGCUCAACCUCGGAACUGCAUUCGAAACUGCUCGGCUCGAGUCCCGGAGAGGGUGGCGGAAUUCCCGGUGUAGGGGUGAAAUCCGUAGAUAUCGGGAGGAACACCAGUGGCGAAGGCGGCCACCUGGACGGUGACUGACGCUGAGACGCGAAAGCGUGGGGAGCAAACAGG
rnacentral:rRNA from 1 species